AACGAACGCUGGCGGCAGGCCUAACACAUGCAAGUCGAGCGAGGACUUCGGUCCUAGCGGCGGACGGGUGAGUAACGCGUGGGAACGUGCCCUUUGCUACGGAAUAGCCCCGGGAAACUGGGAGUAAUACCGUAUGUGCCCUUUGGGGGAAAGAUUUAUCGGCAAAGGAUCGGCCCGCGUUGGAUUAGGUAGUUGGUGGGGUAAUGGCCUACCAAGCCGACGAUCCAUAGCUGGUUUGAGAGGAUGAUCAGCCACACUGGGACUGAGACACGGCCCAGACUCCUACGGGAGGCAGCAGUGGGGAAUCUUAGACAAUGGGCGCAAGCCUGAUCUAGCCAUGCCGCGUGAGCGAUGAAGGCCUUAGGGUUGUAAAGCUCUUUCAGUGGGGAAGAUAAUGACGGUACCCACAGAAGAAGCCCCGGCUAACUCCGUGCCAGCAGCCGCGGUAACAC
rnacentral:rRNA from 1 species